UGGGGAAUAUUGCACAAUGGGCGAAAGCCUGAUGCAGCAACGCCGCGUGAGUGAUGAAGGCCUUCGGGUUGUAAAGCUCUGUCUUUUGGGACGAUAAUGACGGUACCAAAGGAGGAAGCCACGGCUAACUACGUGCCAGCAGCCGCGGUAAUACGUAGGUGGCAAGCGUUGUCCGGAUUUACUGGGCGUAAAGGAUGCGUAGGCGGAUUUUUAAGUGAGAUGUGAAAACCCUAAGCUUACUUGGGGACUGCAUUUCAUACUGGAAAUCUAGAGUGCGGGAGAGGAGAAUGGAAUUCCUAGUGUAGCGGUGAAAUGCGUAGAGAUUAGGAAGAACACCAGUGGCGAAGGCGAUUCUCUGGACCGUAACUGACGCUGAGGCAUGAAAGCGUGGGUAGCAAACAGGAUUAGAUACCCUGGUAGUCCACGCCGUAAACGAUGAGUACUAGGUGUAGGAGGUAUCGACCCCUUCUGUGCCGCAGUUAACACAAUAAGUACUCCGCCUGGGAAGUACGAUCGCAAGAUUAAAACUCAAAGGAAUUGACGGGGUCAUAGCUGUUUUCCU
rnacentral:rRNA from 1 species